CCAUUUCUAGUUUUACUGAUUUCUCAUUGACAUGAGAAAAAUCCAUAGCUAUUUGGUAAGUUUGGAUAUUAUACUUGAUUGAUAACGUUUUGUUUUUUAGAUUUGUUUCUGAAAUUCGAUUUUUCAUCAUGUUAGUUAUUGAUUUGGCGGUUUCAAUCUUCAGUGGCAUCAGAUUCAAGAAAAGCUCGGUAAUGUUCAAAUUUAAGUUAGGAAUAGGAUAGGACAGGCUAGGUUUAGGAACAUGAUCUGAGCUUUUUCCUAUUGGAUUUGAUGCUAGUUGAAGUUUUGAAACCAAUGAAACAAUUGACAAACAUGAUUAAUUUUCGAAGAUUCACGAAAUGAAACACAUAGUUGAAAGUGGUAAUGGUGAACAUUUUGGAAAUUGAGUCUGGAACAAAGCAAGUUGGAGAAAUCAGAGAUCAUGAUUCAUUUUGGAAAUGGAAAACUGAAUGCCCAUUACGAUAGAUUUUUAUUUACAUGAUCGACAACUAGUCUUGGAUCAUAAAGAUUGGAUUGGCGGACAUAUGCUCAUGGUCAUUGGUUAAUUUAUAAAUGGAUCACUAUGGACAAGACAAAAA